AUGAAGGAGAAGGAUCUUUGUUUUAUGUCUUGAAAACUUUGGGUGGGUUGGCAAUAACUUCUACAUUUUUUACAUUCUUGAAAGCUGAACUACUUUUUCUUUUCUUUUUUCCUAAUAUGAUCUCUUUGAAUCCUAAUUUAUUAAGAGACUUAGUUACAAUUUGUAUUAUUGAGUAAUUGAUCAUUUAUUUACACACAGAUGGUUUAAUUUCUUUCUGGGAUAAAACAUAGAAGACAAGUAAAAAUUGUGCAAGAAUUAUUAAUUAAUGGCCACAAUUCGCCUGUUUUAUUGGGGGUGAAGGCAAUAUAUAUUGUCAUCUAUUUGAUUCCAUGGGGCAUAUGUGUUUACUUUCUCUGUGCUCGACACUGGAGAGUGUGCGUGUUUUUCUCUACACUAAUAUGCCUGAUGUUGGAGACUGGUGCACAGUUUGCAUAGUAUUUUCUCAUAAAGAAUGUUUUUCUCUGGGAGCUUGUCAUCGGUAGUUUCGGAGCCAUGAUUUUUAAUUAAGGGGGGCAAAAAUAAUUAUCACCAUGUGUUAAUGAGAGAGAGAGAGUGUGUGCAUGUGUAUAUAUAAAUAUAAACAAACACUUAUUUUUUAUUCAAUUUUUCAAAAUUAAUUUAUUAAAAAAUUUUUAAUAACGAAAUUUAAUAUUAAAUGUGCAAAGGAAAUUGAUAUAUAUGAUUGAUGAGAUUUAGUCUCUAACCUUUUUUCUAAAUCUUGUUUUAUAUAAUAGUAAGCAUUAUAAACAGAUUUUAUAUAUCAAAUUAAAGUUUAUUAUAUAUGUAAUGCAGUAUGGAAUAUGUAGAUUGUAGAGGCAAUUAAAACUAACUAGAGGCAAAUAAAACUAGCUUAAUUUUUGCAAACAAAAAAAUUAGAAAAUCUGAAAAAAUAUAUGUUGAUGUUCAAAUUAAAAUUAUCAAACUCUUUAAAUGAUAAUUUUGGAUGAGUAGGAUUUAAAUUGUAAUAAACUCAUAUACAUUAUGAUUUCUUCAUAAUUAACCCUAAAAAUUGUUAUAUGUUAUUAAAAAUAAAAUUCAGUCAUAAUAGAAACCAUACAACCAAUAGUUUUAUUUGAACAACUUUUCUAUAAAAAAUGUAACAAAAAUUAGAAAUAGUUAAAUUAUUAAUAGAGAUAUUUAAGACAUCAAAAGUCAGUAAUUGAAUUAAUGAUUGGUUCACACAAUAAUUUGAAUCUUAUAAAAAUUAUGUUCUUGUUUCUAUUUUUAAUUAAAUAUUUUAUUUGGUCAUCUGAAGAGGUAUUUUUACUUUGAAGUUUUUUAAUUUGAUCUUUCUAAAUUUUCAUACAAAAUAAACAUAAGGGGUGAACUGUAUUUAGAAAGGGUAUACAUUUAAUUUCUUAAAAUUAAAGAGUACUUAAUUUUUAAAUUUAACCAAAAGUAAGGGAGCAAAUUGCCCCCCUUGCUCUUAACGUGGCUUUGUGACUGGUCAUUGGCUGUGGAACUAAGGUAAUCAGGAUCCGGCAUCAUGCAAUCAGUCAAAUUAUAACUUGGUGAAAACAUUUUGGUCCCUCCUGUGAUAUUGGACCAAAACUUAAGCAGCCAAUCUCUUUACACUAGCAAUGCAGCUUUAACAUUAAUGAAAAUGAAUCCACUCUCAGAAUUACUGUUUUGGGACCUCAACUUCACACUUUUCAAUGGUAAAAAUUUGAAGAUGUUCUGAAGUGUUUAUUCAUGUGAAAAAGCUUAUUAAGUCAAAGACAUGACUUAUGAUUGUGGUUUGUACAUAUCUUGAUGCAUACCAUGCUAGCUGAGAAUUGGAUCAUGUCAGUUAAGAUAGUAUGGACAUGCAUAAAGGAUCUAAUUUAUCAAGAUAUAAUUUUAAGCAUAAAUGUUAUACCUUUCCUGUUGAGGAUAUCUGCAGAUAGGAUGGAAGUGUAUAAAUCAUGUCUGCCGAUGAUGAUGUAUUCUUUUUUUCUUUGUGUGUACAGAGAUUAAAAUUACAG
rnacentral:misc_RNA from 1 species